rnacentral:lncRNA from 1 species
GGAAGCCUUCUUUAGACAACGGUGAGACCGGUUCGGUUAUCUCAUCAAAUUCUGUAUUAUCAUUUAACCGAAUCAACAGAGGUGAGUCGGUAAGCCUGAAGUUCUGAGCAUAUCGGGCCACGUCAAAACUGGAGAGGGAAUAUAUUUAUCCAUCGGCGAGCCUCUCCCAGAAUUUUGAAAGCCGAUGAGCAUUGAUGGUGGCUUGCAUCAUAGUUGACUGAAAACAGAUUAGAUAUUUCUCAGAAUCGAUAAACAAUGAGAAACCACCAGAAUGAUCUAACACAGAUCUUAAAAAAAAUAUAAUAACAGAACAAUUGAUCUUACAUUCACGUCAAUCAGAAGCACAUCGUCCCACAUGAUCUCACCACCACGCUUGACAUUUCUCGGCUCCCAGAAACGCAGCAGUCUAGCCUCGACGACGGAUGAGCAACCACCGGUCUUCCAGUCCGAGAAGAAAACUCUUGAAUUAGCCAUAACAACACAAUUUCAGUAAGUCGACAGAGAUAGAAAUAGAUGAUGAGUUCGAUAUGAGAAGCACUCACAUAUUUAUACGGAUCUGACACCGUCUCAGAGUGAAGAACGCCUCAUUCAAGAUUGCGGAGUGGGCGAUUGAAUGAAGAGAAAUUAAGACGAACUAUAACUUCGCCAGUUUCAUACAUGGUUAAGCAGAUCAAUCGUCACUCGUCGCCGGCGCAGAAGAAGGGACAGACAUGCAUAUUCGACGAUCGCCAUUUUACGGUUAGAGCAAGCCGCGUCAUAUCGGCCCAGUGCAAGGGUUGCAAACGUAAAGCCCAACGGACAGAGAAAUAAGAAAGCCUAUAAACUAACGUUUUAAAUGAAACGAUGUGUUCAAGCAGAAGGGACACGUGGUGUGCUGAGAUUGAUUGAAUUAUCUAGGUGGACCCCUACGUGUACCAUCUGGGAGUGAAACAAAGCCUAUUUUAUAUAAUUAGAUAUGUCGUAAUAUAACUAAUUGUAUUCAAAACCUGGAUCGAAUCGGAUAAUAUGGUUAUUUUUGGUACAAAUAUCCAAACUCGUUAAAAAAAAAAAAAAAGUUACUUUUCCAUCUUGAUAGUUGCCAUGACACAAUUCUUAUCCUCUGGAAGUUCACUCACUGUACUCUUAACAGCAGUGAUCUCACCUACAAUGUCUACGGAAAUGGAGAGCAAUAUCAGUACGUUGCAUGAAUAAAUCGCUACAAACUAUAAAACCCAAAGCCCAUAAUAAGACCGUCUGUGUAUACAUAAAUAAUGUCCGUACCUGGAAGCUGUGUGUUGGUGUUAGCUAAUCCAACCAGCUUGGCUUGGUUAUGGAACCGGAAGCCUUCUUUAGACAACGGUGAGACCGGUUCGGUUAUCUCAUCAAAUUCUGUAUUAUCAUUUAACCGAAUCAACAGAGGUGAGUCGGUAAGCCUGAAGUUCUGAGCAUAUCGGGCCACGUCAAAACUGGAGAGGGAAUAUAUUUAUCCAUCGGCGAGCCUCUCCCAGAAUUUUGAAAGCCGAUGAGCAUUGAUGGUGGC